UACAGAGGGCUCAAGCGUUGUUCGGAUUCAUUGGGCGUAAAGGGUGCGUAGGCGGCGCGGUAAGUCGGGUGUGAAAUCUUGGAGCUUAACUUCGAAACUGCAUUCGAUACUGCCGUGCUUGAGGACUGGAGAGGAGACUGGAAUUUACGGUGUAGCGGUGAAAUGCGUAGAUAUCGUAAGGAAGACCAGUGGCGAAGGCGGGUCUCUGGACAGUUCCUGACGCUGAGGCACGAAGGCCAGGGGAGCAAACGGG
rnacentral:rRNA from 1 species